GGAAGUAUGCCUGAAAGUUAA
rnacentral:tRNA from 1 species